ensembl:lncRNA LINC03000 long intergenic non-protein coding RNA 3000
GAGGAGGCAGUCAAAAGGAAAAACACAAAUAUCUCCAAGAUGGCACUUACAAAAAGCAACAACAAUGACAAAGUAUAAAUACAAACACACACCUUGAAGUUUAUGUUCUUACUCAAAUGCAAGCAUCAACAAUGGCCUACUGUCAGCAAGUUAAAUGGCUGGGGCUGUUUCAGUCUCCCAUUACAUGAAGAAUCUUCUGGAGAGGAAAGAAGAAACCAUGUCUAGACAAGGUGCUGGAAAGACCCAGGGAAGACACAGAUUUGUUCCUUUCUCCACCAUGCCUCACUAUGUGUCACCAAACUUAAUUCAGCAUCAGUGCUCCAAAUACUCCAUCCUACAAUUAGAGAAACCACUGAAUUCCGAUAUCCUCCACCCAAAUGGUAAUGAAGAUUGGAGAAAGUGACGCCCAUGCAUAGCGGAGAAGUGGAUUGCAGAUAUAACAAGGAGCACAGUAAACUGAGAUGUAAAACACCUUAUUCAACAACGAGGAUGCUGACUCAAAAGCAAAAGUUGAAGCACAUUAUGAAUGAAUGUCAAAAGGGAAAAAUCUAAAGCUAACAUAAAAGAGUGCAACUACAUCAAA